GUUCAGUAACUUUUGGCAGGCUGACCAAAACCCUCCCCUGCCUUCCCGCUGCUUUUCAUGCAACCCUGUUAAUGACCACCAGCUGUGGGGCCACUCCUCUGACCACUUUGCCUGGCCUCCUGGGUCUUCAGUGCUUUCAGGGCUAAGGGGCCUCUAUAGUCUCCUGCUCUCUGGCUUCCCCCUGCCUCAAGGAUCUCCACCUCCCAGAGCAUUGCCAAUUCAGCAGGAGCUUCCCUGGGGAAACUCUGAAAGCUUCCCUGGUUGGUCAGACGGUAAAGAACCUGCCUGCAAUGCAGGACACUGGGGUUUGACUCCUGGGUCGAGAAGAUCCCUGGAGAAGGGAAUGGCAACCCACUCCAGUGUCCUUGUUUGGAGAAUCCCAUGGACAGAGGAGCCUGUCAGACUACAAUCCUUGGGUUCCCAAAGAGUUGGACACAACUGAGCAACUAACAUUUUCACUUUCUGCAGGUUAUUAGUUCAAAAUGGGUCAUAAAGCAGCAGAGACAACUUGCAACAUCAACAACCCAUUUGGCCAGGGAAGUGCUAAUGAAUGUACAGUGCAACGGUGGUUCAAGAAGUUUUGCAAAGGAGAUGAGAGCCUUGAAGAUGAGGAGUGUAGUGGCCAGCCAUCAGAAGUUGACAAUGACAACUGAGAGCCAUCAUUGAAGCUAAUCCUGACAACUACAUGAGAAGUUGACGAAGAACUCAACAUCAACCAUUUUAAUGUCAUGCAGCUUUUGAAGCAAAUUGGAAAGGUGAAAAAGCUCCCUAAAUGUGAGCCUCAGUGAGC
ensembl:lncRNA